rnacentral:rRNA from 1 species
GCGCGAAACCUCGGCAAUGUGAGAAAUCGCGACGGGGGGACCCCAAGUGCCAUUCUUAACGGGAUGGCUUUUCUUAAGUGUAAAAAGCUUCUGGAAUAAGAGCUGGGCAAGACCGGUGCCAGCCGCCGCGGUAACACCGGCAGCUCUAGUGGUGGCC